GCCCUAAUAGCUUAAGUACAAAGCAUUGGCCUUGUAAACCAAAGAUUGAAGAUUAAACUCUUCUUAGAGCU
rnacentral:tRNA from 1 species